rnacentral:rRNA from 1 species
AUACGGAGGGUGCAAGCGUUGUUCGGAAUUACUGGGCGUAAAGCGCGCGUAGGCGGUCUGUUAUGUCAGAUGUGAAAGUCCUCGGCUCAACCGGGGAAGUGCAUUUGAAACUGGCAGACUUGAGUACUGGAGGGGGUGGUGGAAUUCCCGGUGUAGAGGUGAAAUUCGUAGAUAUCGGGAGGAAUACCGGUGGCGAAGGCGACCACCUGGCCGGAUACUGACGCUGAGGUGCGAAAGCGUGGGGAGCAAACAGGAUUAGAAACCCCAGUAGUCC